CUAUAUUUGAGAUAUGUAAUCUCCUAUAUCUAAAAAGCAUUAUUGCUACCUGGUUGAGCUCCAGUUCCGCUUCCUGGGUGAUUGGUACCAUCCUCCGCAUCGUGUAUGGACUGGGGCUCUUCCUCCUGUUCUUUCCCUGCCCCAAAAGGAAUUUGCCCUUACAACUAACUUACAAAAGGAGAAACGCCAGGAAGCAUCAAGUGGAGCCGAGAGGGAGGAGCAGCAGGAGCAGGAAGAAAAGGGGAGCUUUGAAAGGUCAUCACACUUCAAGUCCCAGCAAGGGCACCUGUCCUGCCACCGACCAGUGGCCUCAUUCUGGGGAGGCCCCACAAAUAGGGAGGGAGAGACUGAUAGCCCCUCAGUUGCCAACCCUGAUGUCUGGAAGCUGCUCGAGACAGAAAUCACGGAAAGAAUACAAACGGAGGUCUGGGAAAAAGAAGAACAAGAUGAUCCAGGCACUCCUCAGAUGCUUGAAGCACACGGUAUCAUGUCUGGGCUGAAUUUCCGCUGGGGCCUACCCCUCCUGUCCUUGGGGCCUGCAGAUCUGAAAGCAUGUGAGGCUCAACCCUCGGUCCUUCCAUGGCCCCCUUUGCCCCCCGCAGCCACCUGUGAUUCUGGGGCCCCCUCGAAAGCUGAUUUUGCACACUUCAUUGGAAAACCUCUUGAGACUCCUCCGGGUGACAAAGUCUUAACUUUGACAACAAAAGCAUCAGUUCCCAGCCUGGCCCCUCCCCUCCCUGCUCCCUCACCUGUGUGUGAGGAAAAUCAGAAGGCCCUGGGAGGGACCCUACCUGGCGAUGGCAGUGGGCCCUCAGAAGCCUCUCUCUUUGGACAGAAGGGCCGGCCGCCUUCUCCAACCUUCCCAUUCAGCCUCUCAGAGAGAAAAGGGCAGAGUGGGACCUUCGUGGGGGCUGAGCAAGGCCAUCUAGAGCUGAGUUCAGGGUCCCCAGUGGCCAGGAAUGAGCCUCAGGAGGAGAGGAGGGGUGGAGCCUCACCAGAGCCCUGCCGUGGGGUGGCAACACUGGAGGGGGAGUCAGGGUCCCAGUCUUGGAGCCAGGUCGGGGUAAUAGGAGACACCCUCGGGACCAAACCCCUCAAGCCCCUGCCUGAAAAGGAAGAGGUUUUUCACGAAAGCCCUUUCAGAAAAAUGUUGAGAUGCCUCCUGCCCUGCCUGAGGCCCAACAAGGAGGAAGCACCAGAGGAUCCCCUUGCAAAGGCAAGCCGGAGUCAGCCACCACCCAGAGCCAGGCAAGGGUCACACACAGCUCGGCGUCGGAUGGCAGGGCUGUUCAGGCGCCAUCGACAGUGACAUCCUUUGUCUGCGUCCUGGGAGAGAAACUGAGGCUUGCCGAGAACUUCUGGCCUCCCAGUCGAAGCAUCAUAAAAACCAUUUCAGGCCUGGGAAGCUGGACAUACCUGUUACCACGACGUUCCCUCCUCUCCAGACCAGAGAAGAACAAUGACAGAGGACAGUCCCCAACCUACCUCCAGGGACCACAACUGUCCAACUAUGAGUGAAUGGAUCAGAACAGGCAUGGCAACUGGACCUUGCCAUCCAGGCAGCUGCGGUCCCCAGCCAAACCCUGCCAGCCUGGGCUGAGGGUGGCAGCUGCCUCAGCCAAUCCAUUACCCGCCAUGCUGUCCUCAGAUAUGUGUCUCCUGGGAUGAGUAGACUGUGCCUGACACACCUUUCCUCAUAGGAACGCUUAUCUCCCCAAACGGGGAAGUGGAGGAACAGAAAACCUGGUUUUUCUCCUUAUCCCACCCUCUGUACUAAUGGUGUCUUCCUACCCCAAUUUUCCCCAAAUACACUUUUUUUCUCCUUAGAGGUCAUGACUUCUGUCUGUGCCCUGCUAGUGGUAAAAACAGGGUCAGGCUCCGCCCUUCCUGAGUGUCUGCUUUGGCUUCCAGAAGGGUCAGGGCCAUGGGGGGAGGCUGACUGCAGCGUGGCUCACCUGCCCUCACUCCAACUCCCCCACUGCACCUGAAGUCCCCAUCACACCGUCCUUACAAAAACAAACGGAAGCUUUGGGCUGUUUCCAGAUGAGCAAAACCUCUAAGACCCCAGCCCAGGAUGGGCCCCGCCUGUCCUCUCCUGCGUUCUCUGGCCCUGGAACUUGUGGGGCUGUAGGGAGGGGGUUUGCAGAGGCUCCAGGAAGUGUAGAGACAGG
ensembl:lncRNA